AACGAACGCUGGCGGCAUGCCUAACACAUGCAAGUCGAACGAGACCUUCGGGUCUAGUGGCGCACGGGUGCGUAACGCGUGGGAACCUGCCCUUAGGUUCGGAAUAACUCCCCGAAAGGGGUGCUAAUACCGGAUAAUGUCUUCGGACCAAAGAUUUAUCGCCUUUGGAUGGGCCCGCGUUGGAUUAGCUAGUUGGUAGGGUAAAAGCCUACCAAGGCGACGAUCCAUAGCUGGUCUGAGAGGAUGAUCAGCCACACUGGGACUGAGACACGGCCCAGACUCCUACGGGAGGCAGCAGUGGGGAAUAUUGGACAAUGGGCGAAAGCCUGAGCCAGCAAUGCCGCGUGAGUGAUAAAGGCCUUAGGGUUGUAAAGCUCUUUUACCCGGGAUGAUAAUGACAGUACCGGGAGAAUAAGCUCCGGCUAACUCCGUG
rnacentral:rRNA from 1 species